CCCCACUCAGGGUCGCACCUGGAGAGUUUCCAGGACUCUACCAGCCUCAGCUAUGGGAGGGAGAGUCAAGCAGAGGCCUGUCCAUUCCAUUCCUAGCUUGGGCAGUGGCUAGCGAGUGAAAGGCCAUCUGCUACAAGU
rnacentral:snoRNA from 1 species